AUACACCUACGGGGGCAGCAGUAGGGAAUCUUCCACAAUGGGCGAAAGCCUGAUGGAGCAACGCCGCGUGGGUGAAGAAGGUCUUCGGAUCGUAAAACCCUGUUGUUAGAGAAGAAAGUGCGUGAGAGUAACUGUUCACGUUUCGACGGUAUCUAACCAGAAAGCCACGGCUAACUACGUGCCAGCAGCCGCGGUAAUACGUAGGUGGCAAGCGUUAUCCGGAUUUAUUGGGCGUAAAGGGAACGCAGGCGGUCUUUUAAGUCUGAAGAGAAAG
rnacentral:rRNA from 1 species